rnacentral:rRNA from 1 species
UGGGGAAUAUUGCACAAUGGGGGAAACCCUGAUGCAGCAACGCCGCGUGAGUGAUGACGGCCUUCGGGUUGUAAAGCUCUGUCUUCAGGGACGAUAAUGACGGUACCUGAGGAGGAAGCCACGGCUAACUACGUGCCAGCAGCCGCGGUAAUACGUAGGUGGCAAGCGUUGUCCGGAUUUACUGGGCGUAAAGGGAGCGUAGGCGGACUUUUAAGUGAGAUGUGAAAUACCCGGGCUCAACCUGGGUGCUGCAUUUCAAACUGGAAGUCUAGAGUGCAGGAGAGGAGAGUGGAAUUCCUAGUGUAGCGGUGAAAUGCGUAGAGAUUAGGAAGAACACCAGUGGCGAAGGCGACUCUCUGGACUGUAACUGACGCUGAGGCUCGAAAGCGUGGGAAGCAAACA